rnacentral:rRNA from 2 species
GGUCCGGUGAAGUGUUCGGAUCGCUGCGAUGCGGGCGGUUCGCCGCCCGUGACUCGGCGAGAAGUCCAUUGAACCUUAUCAUUUAGAGGAAGGAGAAGUCGUAACAAGGUUUCCGUAGGUGAACCUGCGGAAGGAUCAUUG